GCUGCUGUAGGGCUAAUAGUGGCAGUGAGAAAGGCUUCUCCAGGGUGGAAGGUAGCUUUCCUUCCUAGGAGGGAAUCUAUCUAAAUGCAUGCUCCCUUAAGGGAAGGACUGGCACCUGUGACAAUAGCAAGGCCACUUCCCACCCCCAGAGAAAUGGGGGUAGAAAAAGGCACCUAAAUUUGAAACUGUUGGUCUUAUAUUAAAGGUAACAACUGCCUGGGGAUUCCUGGCAAAGGGAUCCUUCCAACCAAUAAAGAGAUCUUACAGAACCUUUGGCUCUGGAGAGGAAAACCAUUCUGCUGGAAGGGCAGGAGCAGCACCCCAAAAACUUCAGUGACCAACUGAGAAGGAGCCUGGAGGAUCUGCUCCUAUUUCAGAAGGUUGGAGGAUUGGGAUCUUCAGUAGGAAGAGACACAGAGGAAUUGUUUCAUGGAGCAGCAAUCAUAGGGAACAGGAACAUUACCUGAUGGAGAAGCUGAUAGAACUAGUGGCUGAACAAGUGCAGGGUCUGGCCACUGCACCUCUCCAUGCACUUGCAACUCCUCCUCUUCUUGCUCCUGCCCAGUCUGCUGUUGAGGCAGAGGCCCCAACCACCCCCUCAUCCCCCCGCCCCAAGUGACCAGGAGGAACCUGCAGGACUUCAAGGAUACAGUCACCUUAAAUCCCUGACAGAGGAACCCUCUGCCUGUCUAGAAGGGGAACGAUGAGCCUGUGGUGCCUGCCCCCCAAACUGGGUGCAGGAGACAUCCCCAGUUAUCUCUAGUCAUUUCUCCUUGUUAGGGUGAGGGGGAAAGCAAGGAGAUGGAGUCAGAGAUGUUACCAUUAGGCCAUUGUUCACAGAUUCAGUCCCGUGAUGUUUCGUUGUUACAUUUUCUUUUAAACAUAUUUCAAUUGCAUGUUCCAUGUACUACUUUUAAUAAACAUUACCGUUUCCUUGACU